CGGGGGGGUGCUAUACAUGCAGUCGAGCGAACCGAUUAAGAGCUUGCUCUUAAGAAGUUAGCGGCGGACGGGUGAGUAACACGUGGGUAACCUGCCUAUAAGACUGGGAUAACUCCGGGAAACCGGGGCUAAUACCGGAUAACAUUUUGCACCGCAUGGUGCGAAAUUGAAAGGCGGCUUCGGCUGUCACUUAUAGAUGGACCUGCGGCGCAUUAGCUAGUUGGUGAGGUAACGGCUCACCAAGGCGACGAUGCGUAGCCGACCUGAGAGGGUGAUCGGCCACACUGGGACUGAGACACGGCCCAGACUCCUACGGGAGGCAGCAGUAGGGAAUCUUCCGCAAUGGACGAAAGUCUGACGGAGCAACGCCGCGUGAGCGAUGAAGGCCUUCGGGUCGUAAAGCUCUGUUGUUAGGGAAGAACAAGUAUGAGAGUAACUGCUCGUACCUUGACGGUACCUAACCAGAAAGCCACGGCUAACUACGUGCCAGCAGCCGCGGUAAUACGUAGGUGGCAAGCGUUAUCCGGAAUUAUUGGGCGUAAAGCGCGCGCAGGUGGUUUCUUAAGUCUGAUGUGAAAGCCCACGGCUCAACCGUGGAGGGUCAUUGGAAACUGGGAGACUUGAGUGCAGAAGAGGAAAGUGGAAUUCCAUGUGUAGCGGUGAAAUGCGUAGAGAUAUGGAGGAACACCAGUGGCGAAGGCGACUUUCUGGUCUGUAACUGACACUGAGGCGCGAAAGCGUGGGGGAGCAAACAGGAUUAGAUACCCUGGUAGUCCACGCCGUAAACGAUGAGUGCUAAGUGUUAGAGGGUUUCCGCCCUUUAGUGCUGAAGUUAACGCAUUAAGCACUCCGCCUGGGGAGUACGGCCGCAAGGCUGAAACUCAAAGGAAUUGACGGGGGCCCGCACAAGCGGUGGAGCAUGUGGUUUAAUUCGAAGCAACGCGAGACCUUACCAGUCUUGACAUCUCUGAAAACCUAGAGAUAGGCUUCCCCUCGGGGGCAGAGUGACAGGUGUGCAUGUGUCGUCAGCUUCGUGUCUGAGAAUUGUGGUUAAGUUCCCGCA
rnacentral:rRNA from 1 species